rnacentral:rRNA from 1 species
GACGAACGCUGGCGGCGUGCUUAACACAUGCAAGUCGAACGGAAAGGCCCUGCUUUUGUGGGGUGCUCGAGUGGCGAACGGGUGAGUAACACGUGAGUAACCUGCCCUUGACUUUGGGAUAACUUCAGGAAACUGGGGCUAAUACCGGAUAGGAGCUCCUGCUGCAUGGUGGGGGUUGGAAAGUUUCGGCAGUUGGGGAUGGACUCGCGGCUUAUCAGCUUGUUGGUGGGGUAGUGGCUUACCAAGGCUUUGACGGGUAGCCGGCCUGAGAGGGUGACCGGCCACAUUGGGACUGAGAUACGGCCCAGACUCCUACGGGAGGCAGCAGUGGGGAAUAUUGCACAAUGGGCGGAAGCCUGAUGCAGCAACGCCGCGUGCGGGAUGACAGCCUUCGGGUUGUAAACCGCUUUCGCCUGUGACGAAGCGUGAGUGGCGGUAAUGGGUAAAGAAGCACCGGCUAACUACGUG